GAAAUGCGAUAAGUAGUGUGAAUUGCAGAAUUCAGUGAAUCAUCGAAUCUUUGAACGCACAUUGCGCCCCUCGGUAUUCCGUGGGGCAUGCCUGUUCGAGCGUCAUCUACACCCUCAAGCUCUGUUUGGUGUUGGGCGUCUGUCCCGCCUCCGCGCGCGGACUCGCCCCAAAUGCAUUGGCAGCGGUUCCUUGCCCCCCUCUUUGCGCAGCACAUUGCCGUUCGAGGCGGCGGCGGCCCGCGUCCAACAAGCUCAACCCCCCCGUCUUUGACCUCGGAUCAGGUAGGGAUACCCGCUGAACUUAAGC
rnacentral:misc_RNA from 1 species